rnacentral:snRNA from 1 species
GCCCACUUUGGCAGCACAUCUAUCAUGUUGAAACAAUACAGAGUCAGCCUGGCCCUUGUGCAAGAUAACACACAUAUUUGUGAAAAGUUCCAUAUUUUU